CACGUAGGGGGCAAGCGUUGUCCGGAUUUAUUGGGCGUAAAGAGCUCGUAGGCGGUUCGCUAAGUCGGGUGUGAAACCUCCAGGCUCAACCUGGAGACGCCACCUGAUACUGGUGUGACUCGAGUCCGGUAGGGGAGCGUGGAAUUCCUGGUGUAGCGGUGAAAUGCGCAGAUAUCGGGAGGAACACCAGUGGCGAAGGCGGUGCUCUGGGCCGGGACUGACGCUGAGGAGCGAAAGCGUGGGUAGCAAACAGG
rnacentral:rRNA from 1 species